AUUGAACGCUGGCGGCAUGCCUAACACAUGCAAGUCGAACGGCAGCACAAUAAAGAUUUCGGUCUUUAUGGGUGGCGAGUGGCGGACGGGUGAGUAACGCGUAGGAAUCUGUCCUGGAGAGUGGGAUAACCCGAGGAAACUCGGGCUAAUACUGCAUGACAUUGAGAGAUCAAAAGCAGGGGACCGAAAGGCCUUGCGCUCUGGGGUGAGCCUACGUCGGAUUAGCUAGUUGGUGGGGUAGAGGCCUACCAAGGCGACGAUCCGUAGCUGGUCUGAGAGGAUGACCAGCCACACUGGGACUGAGACACGGCCCAGACUCCUACGGGAGGCAGCAGUGGGGAAUCUUGGACAAUGGGGGAAACCCUGAUCCAGCGAUGCCGCGUGUGUGAAGAAGGCCUUCGGGUUGUAAAGCACUUUAGGUGGGGAAGAAAGGUAGCGAGUGAAUAACUUUCUGCUGUGACGGUACCCACAGAAUAAGCACCGGCUAACUCUGUGCCAGCCGCCGCCGUAA
rnacentral:rRNA from 1 species